rnacentral:rRNA from 1 species
UGGGGAAUCUUGCACAAUGGGGGCAACCCUGAUGCAGCGACGCCGCGUGAGCGAUGAAGCCCUUCGGGGCGUAAAGCUCUUUCGACCGGAACGAUAAUGACGGUACCGGGAGAAGAAGCUGCGGCUAACUACGUGCCAGCAGCCGCGGUAAUACGUAGGCAGCAAGCGUUGUUCGGAGUUACUGGGCGUAAAGAGUGCGGAGGCGGUUUUCUAAGUUCGGUGUGAAAUCUCCCGGCUUAACUGGGAGGGUGCGCCGAAGACUGGGAAGCUGGAGUGUGGGAAAGGCAGGCGGAAUUCCUGGUGUAGCGGUGAAAUGCGUAGAUAUCAGGAGGAACACCGGCGGUGUAGACGGCUUGCUAGACCAUAACUGACGCUGAGGCACGAAAGCGUGGGUAGCAAACA